rnacentral:rRNA from 1 species
UACGAAGGGGGCUAGCGUUGCUCGGAAUCACUGGGCGUAAAGCGCACGUAGGCGGACUCUUAAGUCAGGGGUGAAAUCCUGGAGCUCAACUCCAGAACUGCCUUUGAUACUGGGAGUCUCGAGUUCGGGAGAGGUGAGUGGAACUGCGAGUGUAGAGGUGAGAUUCGUAGAUAUUCGCAAGAACACCAGUGGCGAAGGCGGCUCACUGGCCCGAUACUGACGCUGAGGUGCGAAAGCGUGGGGAGCAAAC